UCGUACUCGUGUAGUGAUGGUCUAGAAUGCCGGCUUAAUCGAUUCCGAAGUUCAGUCUCAGGAAACAGACCAAUUGCAGCAUCAAGAACAUGAAUAGUUCCACUGUGGCCGUUCUCGCUCUCAUCCUUCUGGACAUGGUGAUUGCAUAUGGACGCGGACUAGGUGUAUUAUCACGGCGAAGGGCAACGGCGGAUGGCGCAGUCAGGUCGUCCCGUCACGGUAAAUCCAUAAACAACCAUGCAAUGGGAAGGAGGUGCUGAAGGCCGCUGCAAGCAGCAACUGCGGCGAGUCCAGUUGCAAAGACAUUGGACGCCGUAAGCGCUGCAAGAGGGAUUCUAGGUCGGGUUGCUUCUGCAAAAACAACUAUUACCGAAGAGGAUCAGCAACCUCACCGUGUGUCACCAGGGAGAAGUGCAACAGUUGGAAGACAACGUUAUGACGGCGUUUGCACGGACACAUAACAAAUAAUAAAGCGCGCAUCUUUUAAAUUUCAGACUUUCCAUAAGGAAAGUUCUAUUAUGAGAAAACAUUUUUCUUCUGACACUGCUUUGUAUCAUCGCAAGUGGUGGUUAUGCCUUGCCAAGGCCAUCAUUAAAUUUCUUUCCAAAGUUUA